rnacentral:rRNA from 1 species
AAAUUGAAGAGUUUGAUCAUGGCUCAGAUUGAACGCUGGCGGCAGGCCUAACACAUGCAAGUCGAACGGUAGCACAGAGAGCUUGCUCUCGGGUGACGAGUGGCGGACGGGUGAGUAAUGUCUGGGAAACUGCCUGAUGGAGGGGGAUAACUACUGGAAACGGUAGCUAAUACCGCAUAAUGUCGCAAGACCAAAGAGGGGGACCUUCGGGCCUCUUGCCAUCAGAUGUGCCCAGAUGGGAUUAGCUAGUAGGUGGGGUAAUGGCUCACCUAGGCGACGAUCCCUAGCUGGUCUGAGAGGAUGACCAGCCACACUGGAACUGAGACACGGUCCAGACUCCUACGGGAGGCAGCAGUGGGGAAUAUUGCACAAUGGGCGCAAGCCUGAUGCAGCCAUGCCGCGUGUAUGAAGAAGGCCUUCGGGUUGUAAAGUACUUUCAGCGGGGAGGAAGGUGUUGUGGUUAAUAACCACAGCAAUUGACGUUACCCGCAGAAGAAGCACCGGCUAACUCCGUGCCAGCAGCCGCGGUAAUACGGAGGGUGCAAGCGUUAAUCGGAAUUACUGGGCGUAAAGCGCACGCAGGCGGUCUGUCAAGUCGGAUGUGAAAUCCCCGGGCUCAACCUGGGAACUGCAUUCGAAACUGGCAGGCUAGAGUCUUGUAGAGGGGGGUAGAAUUCCAGGUGUAGCGGUGAAAUGCGUAGAGAUCUGGAGGAAUACCGGUGGCGAAGGCGGCCCCCUGGACAAAGACUGACGCUCAGGUGCGAAAGCGUGGGGAGCAAACAGGAUUAGAUACCCUGGUAGUCCACGCCGUAAACGAUGUCGACUUGGAGGUUGUUCCCUUGAGGAGUGGCUUCCGGAGCUAACGCGUUAAGUCGACCGCCUGGGGAGUACGGCCGCAAGGUUAAAACUCAAAUGAAUUGACGGGGGCCCGCACAAGCGGUGGAGCAUGUGGUUUAAUUCGAUGCAACGCGAAGAACCUUACCUACUCUUGACAUCCAGAGAACUUAGCAGAGAUGCUUUGGUGCCUUCGGGAACUCUGAGACAGGUGCUGCAUGGCUGUCGUCAGCUCGUGUUGUGAAAUGUUGGGUUAAGUCCCGCAACGAGCGCAACCCUUAUCCUUUGUUGCCAGCGGUUAGGCCGGGAACUCAAAGGAGACUGCCAGUGAUAAACUGGAGGAAGGUGGGGAUGACGUCAAGUCAUCAUGGCCCUUACGAGUAGGGCUACACACGUGCUACAAUGGCGCAUACAAAGAGAAGCGACCUCGCGAGAGCAAGCGGACCUCAUAAAGUGCGUCGUAGUCCGGAUUGGAGUCUGCAACUCGACUCCAUGAAGUCGGAAUCGCUAGUAAUCGUAGAUCAGAAUGCUACGGUGAAUACGUUCCCGGGCCUUGUACACACCGCCCGUCACACCAUGGGAGUGGGUUGCAAAAGAAGUAGGUAGCUUAACCUUCGGGAGGGCGCUUACCACUUUGUGAUUCAUGACUGGGGUGAAGUCGUAACAAGGUAACCGUAGGGGAACCUGCGGUUGGAUCACCUCCUUACCUUAAAGAA